UACGUAGGGUGCAAGCGUUGUCCGGAAUUAUUGGGCGUAAAGAGCUCGUAGGCGGUUUGUCGCGUCUGCUGUGAAAACCCGAGGCUCAACCUCGGGCCUGCAGUGGGUACGGGCAGACUAGAGUGCGGUAGGGGAGAUUGGAAUUCCUGGUGUAGCGGUGGAAUGCGCAGAUAUCAGGAGGAACACCAAUGGCGAAGGCAGAUCUCUGGGCCGUAACUGACGCUGAGGCGCGAAGGCUAGGGGAGCAAACAGG
rnacentral:rRNA from 1 species